GGGGUAGUAAAGGUUUCGACAGGGGUCUUGCAGCUGGAGAAGCUAUCCGCAUGCAAUGCGUUAAAUGGCAAAAUUAAACUAAACGCUGAAGAUAAUUUGGCAUACGCAGCCUAAUGGCUGCUGUCCGCUCUAAGGCACUCACACUUUAGAAUCCGGGCAUCGACUAUGUGAGAAACGACAUGUGUUAAGCUUUGCACACAUGGGCGUAUUAUGAAGCUACUGACUUUGGCUGGCUGUUCGUUUCCGGCCAAAUGAGGGAAGAGGAAAAACUUGCUUGUGCAAGUAUUUCCACAAUAACGGACUAUGAUAGUAGAAGGACAGGGAAUGGGCUUUUGGACACGGGUUCGACUCCCGUCUACUCCACUC
rnacentral:tmRNA from 1 species